GAAUGCAUAUAGAUGUAGAUAUGGAUGGAUGGAUAGAUAUAUUUAGAUAGGUUAAUGACAAUGGACAUAGAUGUAUCUGUGUAUAUGUACAUGUAUAGAUGUAUAUAUAGGUGAAUACAUUUAGGUAUAGAUAUAUGUAUAUAUAGGUGAAUGCAUAUAGGUAUAGAUAUAUGUAUAUGUAGGUGAAUGCAUAUAGGUAUAGAUAUAUGGAUAUAGAUGGAUGGAUGGAUAAAUAGAAUUAUAUAGGUUGAUAGAAAUUAAUAUAGAUGUAUGGAUAUAGAUGUAGAUAUGGUUGGAUAUAGAUGUUAAUAUAUAUUUAUAUAUGGAUGGAUGCAUAUAGGUAUAGAUAGAUGGAUAUAGAUGGAUGUUGAUAUAAAUGGAUGGUUGUAGAUGGAUAUAUAUAGGUGGAUGGAUGUCAAUAUAGAUGGAUAUAGAUAUAGGGUGGUGGAUGUGGAUAUAGGUGGAUAAAACAGUAUAGUAUAUGUAUUAUAAUUAUCUCCAUGAAAAUCGUUCAUUAUAGAUCAUGACUUGGCAUAAAACAAGCAAACACACGAGUAAAUAAUUAUAAAUAAAUACAUGCUUGAAGUCAAAAUGGUUUGUAUUUGUUAUUUUUUUAUGUUUAGAAGAUUGCUACUUUAU
rnacentral:lncRNA from 1 species